rnacentral:lncRNA from 1 species
UUUUGUAUGUCCGACAUGAAGGUCCAACCAUGCUCCUCUAAGGGCCCAAUAUCAUGUAAUAAACAUGUCAAAAACCAACUCCAAAUGUCUUUCGUCUCUGCCUCCACUACGGCUCAUGCAAUGGAAAAAAUAUUUUCAUUACCAUCCUUCCCCACUGCAGCUAGGAGCUAUCCUCCAAAUGAACCCUUCAAGUGACAUCCGUCCAAUCC